GGCUUAAAGAGUUACUUCUUUAUGAACAGCUUAUUUGUCUUAAUAUGCUCACUGUGGGUGUUUGUGGCAGCGAGGACAAAUUGAGUUCGAGGUGGUGUACGUGGCCCCAGAAGUGGACAGUGAUGAUGAGAAUGUGGAGUAUGAAGAUGACAGCGGCCACCGGUACCGACUCUACUUGGAUGAACUGGAGGACAGCAGCACAACAGCGCCACCAGGCAACAGCUCAGCAUCACUUCAGGCUCUGGAGAAGAUGACACUGAACAGUGGACCGGAGAACGGAAACCCUGGGAUCCCCUCUCAGAAAAAUCCACAGGAAACUCCGUCAAAGCCACCAGACACGGACUACUCCUCAUAAAAUGCCAAACUGACCUCUGGGAUUUUUGGACAAGAACUGAAACAAUUCAGUGACAAUCUGAGAAACUUGGGGAAACCGACUUUUACUGUCCAUUUUCCCAUCUUUCUCUUUUAGUCUAGAUGAAGUGCAGUUUGUGGCUUGUGGCACUUGAUCUCAGUUAUUUUUAUGUGAAAGUUUGAUGCCAUGUUAAUGGACUGGGAAAAUUUGAGAAUGUUUUUAGCAAUGGGAGCUGACAGGAAUACCUUAUAGGAGAGAAAUAUGCACGCUGACAUGGAAGUGGAAUAAUUUCAUCUCUUUAUUGAUAAAAUGCUUCAGAGCUUCUGUCUGGGGAGACGGUGUGUGUUGGUUCAUUAUCUGGUUUUAAAUAAGGAAGCCUUUUCAGAAAAAGAUUCUGAAAGAAAAAUAAGUUUGUUAGAAACGUAGGACAACUUUCACAAUGAACUCAUUUAGGCAUCAAAUAUUUUAGACAGGGUCUGUUUUUUCUUUUUUAACAGUGACUAUAGAUAUGUUUUAAUGUGUAAACUCCUAUUUGUGUAAUCAGAAGAUUAAGAUGCAACGUGCUGUUUGGUGACCCACCUUGUCCUUCCGUAGCUCUUAGGCUAACAACUGACCUUUUUUAGGUUGCUGAUGUUACUUUUGAUUUUUUCUUCUUUUUUUGGUUUUUGUGAACCUCUUGGCUUUUCUUGAGGUUUUUUUUAACCAAAUAAUUUCAAAAAUAGCAUGAUACAUUUUUUUAAUCACUACUAUCCCUGAAAGUCCAUAAAAAUGAAUGAAUCCUUGUCCUGACAUAUUUAGUCGAUAGUUGAACAGGUGUAGGUCAGUGUUGUCAUCGGCAACAGUAUCACAUGUCCUAAAUAUGUUUAGAGGAGACUACUGUACCCAUCUCUGUUAUGAAUAGACAAUCCUGUUUAUUUUCUGAUAUUUGGUAUGUGUGCUCUUUAAAGCUGCUGCAUUUCCUCGUUCUUUUUAAAACCGUUGUGGAACGCCUCCCAGUAUAACUGUGGAGAAGGUUUGACUGCACCAGUUUUUCCAGGCUUCCACCUCUGCAAUCCAUGUAUUCAGCUGAAUCGUUUAUUAUCCACCUGCUUGUUUUUGAACUUGAAUAAACCAUUUUUUUGUCAUAACUC